UAAGGAAUAUUGGACAAUGGAGGCAACUCUGAUCCAGCCAUGCCGCGUGAAGGAAUAAGGCCCUAUGGGUUGUAAACUUCUUUUAGACGGGACAAAACCCCUUUACGUGUAAAGGGUUGAUGGUACUGUCAGAAUAAGCAUCGGCUAACUUCGUGCCAGCAGCCGCGGUAAUACGAAGGAUGCAAGCGUUAUCCGGAAUUAUUGGGUUUAAAGGGUGCGUAGGCGGACUAAUAAGUCAGUGGUGAAAGCCUGCAGCUUAACUGCAGAAUUGCCAUUGAUACUGUUAGUCUUGAGUACAGUUGGGGUAGGCGGAAUGUGUCAUGUAGCGGUGAAAUGCUUAGAUAUGACACAGAACACCGAUUGCGAAGGCAGCGUGCUAAGCUGUAACUGACGCUGAGGCACGAAAGCGUGGGGAGCAAACA
rnacentral:rRNA from 1 species